AUUGAACGCUGGCGGCAGGCCUAACACAUGCAAGUCGAGCGGUUGACGGGAGCUUGCUCCCUGAUUCAGCGGCGGACGGGUGAGUAAUGCCUAGGAAUCUGCCUAUUAGUGGGGGACAACGUUUCGAAAGGAACGCUAAUACCGCAUACGUCCUACGGGAGAAGGCAGGGGACCUUCGGGCCUUGCGCUAAUAGAUGAGCCUAGAUCGGAUUAGCUUGUUGGUGAGGUAAUGGCUCACCAAGGCGGCGAUCCGUAACAGGUCUGAGAGGAUGAUCAGUCACACUGGAACUGAGACACGGUCCAGACUCCUACGGGAGGCAGCAGUGGGGAAUAUUGGACAAUGGGCGAAAGCCUGAUCCAGCCAUGCCGCGUGUGUGAAGAAGGUCUUCGGAUUGUAAAGCACUUUAAGUUGGGAGGAAGGGUUGUAGAUUAAUACUCUGCAAUUUUGACGUUACCGACAGAAUAAGCACCGGCUAACUCUGUGCCAGCCGCCGCGGUAAGAC
rnacentral:rRNA from 1 species